rnacentral:lncRNA from 1 species
GUUUUGGCUAAUCCACCAGGGAUAAUAACUUUAAUUUAAGGUGGUACCUAACACUACAGGGAGAUAACGUUAAUAACGUUGUGUCGUAAAAGGAAUAUUAAGCUACUCAAUGAUCAAAAUAGGAGAUUGUCAAACUGCUAUAUAACCAGUGUAAUUUUUCUGACAAAAUGGUUGGUUAAAACUUUUUGAAAUUUUUAUAUUUUUGUUAAAG